AUUGAACGCUAGCGGGAUGCUUUACACAUGCAAGUCGAACGGCAGCGCGGACUUCGGUCUGGCGGCGAGUGGCGAACGGGUGAGUAAUGUAUCGGAACGUGCCCAGUAGCGGGGGAUAACUACGCGAAAGCGUAGCUAAUACCGCAUACGCCCUACGGGGGAAAGCAGGGGAUCGUAAGACCUUGCACUAUUGGAGCGGCCGAUAUCGGAUUAGCUAGUUGGUGAGGUAACGGCUCACCAAGGCGACGAUCCGUAGCUGGUUUGAGAGGACGACCAGCCACACUGGGACUGAGACACGGCCCAGACUCCUACGGGAGGCAGCAGUGGGGAAUUUUGGACAAUGGGGGCAACCCUGAUCCAGCCCUCCCGCGUGUGCGAUGAAGGCCUUCGGGUUGUAAAGCACUUUUGGCAGGAAAGAAACGUCGCGGGCUAAUACCCCGUGGAACUGACGGUACCUGCAGAAUAAGCACCGGCUAACUACGUG
rnacentral:rRNA from 1 species